rnacentral:rRNA from 1 species
AUCUUCCGCAAUGGGCGAAAGCCUGACGGAGCAACGCCGCGUGAGUGAUGAAGGGUUUCGGCUCGUAAAACUCUGUUCUUAGGGAAGAACAAAUGUGUAAGUAACUGUGCACAUCUUUACGGUACAUAAUCAGAAAGCCACGGCUAACUACGUGUCAGCAGCCGCGGUAAUACGUAGGUGGCAAGCGUUAUCCGGAAUUAUUGGGCGUAAAGCGCGCGUAGGCGUUUUCUUAAGUCUUGUGUGAAAGCCCACGGCUCAACCGUGGAGGGUCAUUGGAAACUGGGAAACUUGAGUGCAGAAGAGGAAAGUGGAAUUCCAUGUGUAGCGGUGAAAUGCGCAGAGAUAUGGAGGAACACCAGUGGCGAAGGCGACUUUCUGGUCUGUAACUGACGCUGAUGUGCGAAAGCGUGGGGAUCAAACA